UACCGCAUAACAACAGAAAGCGCAUGCUUUUUGUUUGAAAACCAAGGUGGUAUGGGAUGGACCCGCGUCUGAUUAGCUGGUUGGCGGGGUAAAGGCCCACCAAGGCGACGAUCAGUAGCCGGCCUGAGAGGGUGGACGGCCACAUUGGGACUGAGACACGGCCCAAACUCCUACGGGAGGCAGCAGUGGGGAAUAUUGCACAAUGGGGGAAACCCUGAUGCAGCGACGCCGCGUGAGUGAAGAAGUAAUUCGUUAUGUAAAGCUCUAUCAGCAGGGAAGAAAAUGACGGUACCUGAGUAAGAAGCCCCGGCUAACUACGUGCCAGCAGCCGCGGUAAUACGUAGGGGGCAAGCGUUAUCCGGAUUUACUGGGUGUAAAGGGAGCGUAGACGGCAGUGCAAGUCUGGAGUGAAAGGCGGGGGCUCAACCCCCGGACUGCUCUGGAAACUGUACGGCUGGAGUGCAGGAGAGGUAAGUGGAAUUCCUAGUGUAGCGGUGAAAUGCGUAGAUAUUAGGAGGAACACCAGUGGCGAAGGCGGCUUACUGGACUGUAACUGACGUUGAGGCUCGAAAGCGUGGGGAGCAAACAGGAUUAGAUACCCUGGUAGUCCACGCCGUAAACGAU
rnacentral:rRNA from 1 species